rnacentral:misc_RNA from 1 species
GAAAUGCGAUAAGUAAUGUGAAUUGCAGAAUUCAGUGAAUCAUCGAAUCUUUGAACGCACAUUGCGCCCGCCAGUAUUCUGGCGGGCAUGCCUGUCCGAGCGUCAUUUCAACCAUCAAGCCCCCGGGCUUGUGUUGGGGACCUGCGGCUGCCCGCAGGCCCUGAAAACCAGUGGCGGGCUCGCUGUCACACCGAGCGUAGUAGCAAUCACCUCGCUCAGGGCGUGCUGCGGGUUCCGGCCGUUAAACAGCCUUACAAAACCCAAGGUUGACCUCGGAUGAGGUAGGAAGACCCGCUGAACUUAAGC